AAGGUCACACACACACUUGUUAUAUAUUUCAGAAUUUUUUAAACACAAAAACUCGUUUCAUUUUUAUAUUUUGUGAGGGAAAUUUGAUACCUACGUUCAGGUACACUCAUCUUUUAUGCCGAAGCACGAUUGGCCAAGUCAUCAUUUAUUGCGAGACGGGAAAAACUUUGCUGAGAACAAGGGCAUUUGUCAUCUGGGCAACAUCAAUAUUUAGAUCAAGGAUCGGA